AAAAAAAGAGAAAAAAUAAAGUUAAAAAGAAAAAAAAAAAAGAAAACACUGCAGUAAACAUCAUUGGGAUUUUGCAAACUCAUGAAACACAUGAGCAAGUACUUUCCCAAAGCACUGGGGUUAGUUUUUCUAGUUCCUCCAGGGGUGAUGUUAGAUCAUCAACUUGAGAUCCUUUUGACUUUUUGAGACCUCCUUUAUGGAUAAGCACAUGAAAGAUCCAAAUAAGCACAAUCAGAAAUGACAAAGGUGACAUUACAACUGAUCUCACAGAAAUACAAAAGAACCUCAGAGACUGUUAUGAACAUCU